rnacentral:lncRNA from 1 species
GAAUACCUCAACAGCUUUCAGCAGAAAUGGUAAGACAUGGGGAUUCCAAACCAGAGAGAAUGGAGGCUGAAAUUGCACAAGCCAGGAAAUACUUGAAAGCAGGCAGACGACAACAGUACAAUCCCAGAAAGACUGUAAAAUAGUUGAACAUGACUGAACUGUGAAAGGACAGUAGAUGAAUAGAGAAUUGUGGAAUAACAGCACCUGCCUUAGAACAUUAUGCGUCUGCAUCCCUGAAGAUAUGCAUGCCUCUAUUUGGAAACUCAAUGAACAGAAAGCACAACAUUAUUUAAUAUUGUCUGUUAAUUUGCCUCAGCUGGAGACAGCUCACCCAUCCUGAUAUGGUACCUGCAUGCAUAGAAGAAAAGUAAUGAAAGAAUUCCUGUGGUUUGGGUCAG